rnacentral:lncRNA from 1 species
UCGCUGGGCCCUUUUUGUACCAACCUGUCUGACACACUCCCUCGUCCUAUCAUACAAAUUACUUCUUUUAAAGUUAUCUAAAUUUAAACCUUACAUCAAAAUCUCAUGUUAAUUUCUGCUCCAAAUACCAACUUAAUAAUGUAAUUGUUUUCCAAAUUAAGUGAAAAAAAAUAGGCAGCAUAUUUCAACAGAAAUAUGUAACAAAAACGGUCAAGUGAGGAAUAUUGACCGCUCCAAGUAUCAUAUUUCUAUAUUGUAAUGAUAGUAUAUGUGUGUGCUCUUUCAUAAUUCUGCCUGCUAGUACCAUGUGUUUGUGUGUACUUAUUUCAGAAGCUGGUAUUUGGUAAUCUUUCAAAAAGUGAUGCAUUUACAUUUAGUAUAAACCCACUCAUUGUAAAGUUUAGGGAGUAAAUGUAGGGACCAAAUAUAGAGCUCGACUACUCCUUAAGGCAGUGUUUGUUGUCAGUCUCUUUGGUCAAGCAAUAUUAGUGGCCAGGAUCUCUUGGACGAUAUCAAUGGUUCCCAAACAUUAUCACAAUUCAUUUUGGUAAAUUCCUAAUCCACCCACAUUUUUUUCUCAUUUAAAUGUUUUUAAAAAUCAGUUUGAUGAACUUCGCAGUCAAUCCUUGUUUUGUGAAGGAACUAUUCCUGUUCUUAUUUGCGGUAAAUGUUGAAUUGUAGCCCUUAUGCUUCCUGUGGUUUGUUGUACAUCUCCCCCUCUUUAUCAUGAUUGCAAAAGAAUACAGUGAUAAAUGAAUCGUCUCCAUGCACUUUGCAAAUGGAACAAAUGGUAGAUUUAUCGGCACCAGACUUGCAGUUCACAGCAACAGAACUUCCACCACCAAGUACCUCUCUGACCAUUUCUGUCUUUUCCUGUAGCGAAUCCACUCACCUGCUUCCUUUGAUCUAGCACCUUUGUGUGUUUUGGUUUCUUUUCGCUGGUCCCAUGUUAAUGGCUAGGAGUAUGUAAAUCUAUGUAAGAACCAUGCAGCCUCGCAACACAGCCGUGUAAAAAGAAGCAACAGUCUGCAUUCUGGGUAGCUGGACAUCAUGGGUGGUUACUGAGGUGUAUUUUUGCAGAAUCUUCAACUGAUCAUCGAUUGGUGUUGUCACAGGUCAAUUUGUGAUGAGUGUAUCGUGAUUCACAAUUGAGUGUAUCGUGAUUCACAAUUGAGUGUAUCGUGAUUCACAAUUGUGUGUAUCGUGAUUCACAAUUGAGUGUAUCGUGAUUCACAAUUGAGUGUAUCGUGAUUCACAAUUGAGUGUAUCGUGAUUCACAAUUGAGUGUAUCGUGAUUCACAAUUGAGUGUAUCGUGAUUCACAAUUGAGUGUAUCGUGAUUCACAAUUGAGUGUAUCGUGAUUCACAAUUGAGUGUAUCGUGAUUCACAAUUGAGUGUAUCGUGAUUCACAAUUGAGUGUAUCGUGAUUCACAAUUGACUGUAUCGUGAUUCACAAUUGAGUGUAUCGUGAUUCACAAUUGAGUGUAUCGUGAUUCACAAUUGACUGUAUCGUGAUUCACAAUUGAGUAUAUCGUGAUUCACAAUUGAGUGUAUCGUGUUAUCGCAGAUCAGUGAUAACUGAGGCUCCAUGGACAAUAUAUUCUUAAAGUUUUAUGUUCUCUCAAAUGUAGAAGAUUUUCUGUGUUUGUGAUCCUGUCAGAAUUACCCUGCAACACAUCGGCAACUGCUGGAUUCUGAUAAUGCUACAGAGUGGAGUAACUUGUUGCAUCAGCAAUAUUAAUUACUGAUCAGGUAACGAGCUGGCAGAAUGCUUAGUACAGCAGUCAGAAUGCUUCACAGCGUUUAACCUGUCCUCAUGUUCUGAGUUCAAAUUCUGCCAAGGUCAACUAGUUCCUACCCUCAAAGUUGCUGACCUUGUGUCAAGAUUUGAAACCAAUGUUAAAAGCCAAUAAUCCCUAUUACAAUGGUUGGGGGUCACACCCCAGGGAGAUUUCAAUGGUGCAACUCUCUGAUCUUCCAAGACUGAAAGCUACCUAAGACAUUCCUCCUCUUGUCCCUCUCUCAUACUUUCUUAUCCCUCAAUCCCUAUACCCCAACUAGAUGAGGGGUUCUUGUCUUGUGGGCACUGGUGCCUCACAAAAAGCACCCAAUGCACCCUGUUAAGUGGUUGGCAUUAGGAAAAGCAUCCAGCUUGUAGAAACCAUACUAAAACAGACAAUGGAGCUUGGUACAUCCCUGUUGCUUGUCAGUUCAUGCUGAACCAUCCAACCCAUGCCAGCAUAGAAAAGCAGACACCAGAUGAUGAGGAUCCCAAAUAUCAGUGGCGCAGAAGCUGAAGUCUAACACAACUGAUUACCAUUACCACCUCCGCCACUUCCCUGGUUGUGAUGAGGAUCCGUCUGCACCAGUUGUUUCGGUGUCUUGCAGGAAACAGGGGUGGGGGGUAUACAGUUUCACAUUUCAUAAUCCCUUGAACUGUAAAUACAAAGCCCAAGAAUGCCCCCCACCCACCCACCAUAACCCAACAUCUUAUUUGCAACCCAUAUUCUGUCCCUUUCUUCUGCGUUUUGUGCCAUUUACUGAUUUUAUGAAAUUUUGUGGCUUGUAAAAAAAAAAUAAUAACAAUAAUAAGGGUAGAGGUCUUUUCUCUCGUUAACAUAUCAUAAUUAUUUUUGUCCAAUUCGCCCAAUUCCUUCUUGAUGCUAUUUUACCGCAUUGUAUUUUUACAAAUGUUUCCAGUUACUUUAUUACCAAAAUGGAAAAUUUCAUUAAAUAAUAUAUCCUAAUGAAAAAUAAAAAUAAUUUUAAAAAAAAGAAAGAUGAAUUUAUUUUAGAUUUUUAUACAAUAUUAAACUGACAAUGAAAUACUAAUUUGUGUAUUAGUAUGAAUUUUUGUAAUAAAGACAUAUAAAU